rnacentral:tRNA from 1 species
UCCUUGGUGGUCCAGUGAUUAAGACUCUGCACUUCCAAUGCAGGGGUGCAGGUCAGAACCCUGGUCGAGGAA